CGGGGAUUGGCGCAAUUGGCUAGCGCGCGCGCAUCGGGUGCGCGAGGUUGGGAGUUCGAAUCUCCCAUCCCCGA
rnacentral:tRNA from 1 species